AGUGAACGCUGGCGGUAGGCCUAACACAUGCAAGUCGAACGGCAGCACAGUAAGAGCUUGCUCUUACGGGUGGCGAGUGGCGGACGGGUGAGGAAUACAUCGGAAUCUACUUUUUCGUGGGGGAUAACGUAGGGAAACUUACGCUAAUACCGCAUACGACCUACGGGUGAAAGCAGGGGAUCUUCGGACCUUGCGCGAUUGAAUGAGCCGAUGUCGGAUUAGCUAGUUGGCGGGGUAAAGGCCCUCCAAGGCGACGAUCCGUAGCUGGUCUGAGAGGAUGAACAGCCACACUGGAACUGAGACACGGUCCAGACUCCUACGGGAGGCAGCAGUGGGGAAUAUUGGACAAUGGGCGCAAGCCUGAUCCAGCCAUACCGCGUGGGUGAAGAAGGCCUUCGGGUUGUAAAGCCCUUUUGUUGGGAAAGAAAAGCAGCAGGUUAAUACCCCGCUGUUCUGACGGUACCCAAAGAAUAAGCACCGGCUAACUUCGUG
rnacentral:rRNA from 1 species